rnacentral:tRNA from 1 species
ACCCAGCUGGCUCAGUCAGUAGAGCAUGUGACUUUCAAUCUCAGGGUUUUAAGUUCAAGCCCCACGUUGGGUG